AACGAACGCUGGCGGCAUGCCUAACACAUGCAAGUCGAACGAGACCUUCGGGUCUAGUGGCGCACGGGUGCGUAACGCGUGGGAACCUUCCCUUAUGUUCGGAAUAACUCUCCGACAGGGGUGCUAAUACCGGAUAAUGUCUUCGGCCCAAAGAUUUAUCGCCUUUGGAUGGGCCCGCGUUGGAUUAGCUAGUUGGUAGGGUAAAAGCCUACCACGGCGACGAUCCAUAGCUGGUCUGAGAGGAUGAUCAGCGACACUGGGACUGAGACACGGCCCAGACUCCUACGGGAGGCAGCAGUGGGGAAUAUUGGACAAUGGGCGAAAGCAUGAUCCAGCAAUGCCGCGUGAGUGAUGAAGGCCUUAGGGUUGUAAAGCUCUUUUACCCGGGAUGAUAAUGACAGUACCGGGAGAAUAAGCUCCGGCUAACUCCGUG
rnacentral:rRNA from 1 species